rnacentral:rRNA from 1 species
UACGUAGGGUGCAAGCGUUGUCCGGAAUUAUUGGGCGUAAAGAGCUCGUAGGCGGUCUGUCGCGUCUGCUGUGAAAACUCAGGGCUUAACCCUGAGCUUGCAGUGGGUACGGGCAGACUAGAGUGCGGUAGGGGGAGACUGGAAUUCCUGGUGUAGCGGUGAAAUGCGCAGAUAUCAGGAGGAACACCGGUGGCGAAGGCGGGUCUCUGGGCCGAUAUUGACGCUGGAGGAAGCGAAAGCGUGGGGAGCAAACAGG